ensembl:snoRNA
AAAGACUCACUCUGCACCUGGCUGCAGCCCCCAGGCAGGCGAUUUUUCUGUCUGCUAGAGAACCUUCCAGGGAGCUGUGGUUUCUGCAUCCUAUGGCAGCCUUGGGAACUUGGC